rnacentral:rRNA from 1 species
UACAGAGGUCCCGAGCGUUUGUUCGGAUUCAUUGGGCGUAAAGGGUGCGUAGGCGGUUUUGUAAGCCAGAUGUGAAAUCCCCGGGCUUAACCUGGGAAUGGCAUUUGGGACUGCAAGGCUCGAGUGCGGCAGAGGAGACUGGAAUUCCUGGUGUAGCAGUGAAAUGCGUAGAUAUCAGGAAGAACACCUAUGGCGAAGGCAGCUCUCUGGGACGGUACUGACGCUGAGACGCGAAAGCGUGGGGAGCGAACAGG